CCUACGGUGGGCAGCAGUGGGGAAUAUUGGACAAUGGGCGAAAGCCUGAUCCAGCCAUGCCGCGUGUGUGAAGAAGGCCUUCGGGUUGUAAAGCACUUUCAGUGGGGAAGAAAGCCUUGGGGCUAAUACCCUCGAGGAAGGACAUCACCCACAGAAGAAGCACCGGCUAACUCCGUGCCAGCAGCCGCGGUAAUACGGAGGGUGCGAGCGUUAAUCGGAAUUACUGGGCGUAAAGCGCACGUAGGCGGUCUGAUAAGCCGGUUGUGAAAGCCCCGGGCUCAACCUGGGAACGGCAUCCGGAACUGUCAGGCUAGAGUGCAGGAGAGGAAGGUAGAAUUCCCGGUGUAGCGGUGAAAUGCGUAGAGAUCGGGAGGAAUACCAGUGGCGAAGGCGGCCUUCUGGACUGACACUGACGCUGAGGUGCGAAAGCGUGGGUAGCAAACAGGAUUAGAUACCCGUGUAGUC
rnacentral:rRNA from 1 species